rnacentral:rRNA from 1 species
GAACGGCAGCACAGGGAGCUUGCUCCCGGGUGGCGAGUGGCGCACGGGUGAGUAAUACAUCGGAACGUGUCCUGUUGUGGGGGAUAACUGCUCGAAAGGGUGGCUAAUACCGCAUGAGACCUGAGGGUGAAAGCGGGGGAUCGCAAGACCUCGCGCAAUUGGAGCGGCCGAUGCCCGAUUAGCUAGUUGGUGAGGUAAAGGCUCACCAAGGCGACGAUCGGUAGCUGGUCUGAGAGGACGACCAGCCACACUGGGACUGAGACACGGCCCAGACUCCUACGGGAGGCAGCAGUGGGGAAUUUUGGACAAUGGGGGCAACCCUGAUCCAGCCAUGCCGCGUGCAGGAUGAAGGCCUUCGGGUUGUAAACUGCUUUUGUCAGGGACGAAAAGGACCGUGUUAAUACCAUGGUCUGCUGACGGUACCUGAAGAAUAAGCACCGGCUAACUACGUGCCAGCAGCCGCGGUAAUACGUAGGGUGCAAGCGUUAAUCGGAAUUACUGGGCGUAAAGCGUGCGCAGGCGGUUCUGUAAGACAGAUGUGAAAUCCCCGGGCUUAACCUGGGAAUUGCAUUUGUGACUGCAGGACUAGAGUUCAUCAGAGGGGGGUGGAAUUCCAAGUGUAGCAGUGAAAUGCGUAGAUAUUUGGAAGAACACCAAUGGCGAAGGCAGCCCCCUGGGAUGCGACUGACGCUCAUGCACGAAAGCGUGAGGAGCAAACAGGAUUAGAUACCCUGGUAGUCUGCGCCCUAAACGAUGUCUACUGGUUGUUGGGGUUUUUUAACCUUGG